AUCUAUUUAGCGUUCCUGAAUAUACAUAUCAAACACACAAGAUUUGAAAUAUAUCCAGCUGAAUGACAAAAAUGCCCAAACGAAGGGCACAGCGUUCACACAAGGAAUGAAAUGAGCAGCCCAGCCCAUACAUAAGCCAAUUCAAUGUAAAGCCAUAGCAGGGUCAUUGUACCAUCUCAAGGUCCUUGAAGUACUCAUGCUCAAGAGCCUGUCUAGCUGUGAUCCUUUUGUUUGGCUCGUACCGAAGCAUUUUCUGACAUUCACCCGCCUAAUAAAAUCUUUAUGCUGUUUUGUCAUACCUGUGCCUGCCACUUGGGGAAAGCAGACUUGUAGUCAGGUAAUGAGCUAACUCCUGGCCAACUUUGUUCAUUUGGAGUUCCUAAACCUGAAUAUCUUAAAUAAUUCAUCAAUCUCAGAAUCACCAGGGAACAGUGGUUUCUGGUUCACCAUUUCUGCAAAGAUACAACCAACUGACCACAUAUCAACUGGUGUAGAAUACUGCCUUGAUCCAAGAAGGAUCUCUGGAGCUCUAUACCACAAGUACCUCAUGAGUAAAUGUGCGGACAGGAAUUCCAAAUGCCCUGGCUAAACCAAAGUCUGCAAGCUUCAGUGUAUUAGUACGCCGAUCUAUCAAUAAAUUCUGAGGUUUCAAAUCUCGAUGAAGAACUCUAUGAGAAUGACAGUAAGCAACGCCGCGGAGUAUCUGAUAGAGAUAUGACUGGCGAAAGAAGAAAACAUGGGGUUUUUUGCAAACUCUGGACAAGAGUCCAUGAACUUCUUCAGGUCCAGAUCCAGAUACUCAAAGACAAGACCUAUGCGCUUCUCACUGUGGAUAACAUCGUGACCUGACGAUGUUGCGGUGAUGCAUCUCCUUGAGGAGCGAGAUCUCGCGGAUGGCGGUGGAGGGGACACC
rnacentral:sRNA from 1 species